rnacentral:rRNA from 1 species
AAGAAYSCCUUNGGGGCUAAUMCCCCCGNAGGGAAGACAUCACUCACAGAAGAAGCACCGGCUAACUCCGUGCCAGCAGCCGCGGUAAUACGGAGGGUGCAAGCGUUAAUCGGAAUUACUGGGCGUAAAGCGCGCGUAGGCGGCGUGAUAAGCCGGUUGUGAAAGCCCCGGGCUCAACCUGGGAACGGCAUCCGGAACUGUCAGGCUAGAGUGCAGGAGAGGAAGGUAGAAUUCCCGGUGUAGCGGUGAAAUGCGUAGAGAUCGGGAGGAAUACCAGUGGCGAAGGCGGCCUUCUGGACUGACACUGACGCUGAGGUGCGAAAGCGUGGGUAGCAAACAGGAUUAGAUACCCUGGUAGUCCACGCCGUAAACGAUGUCGACUAGCCGUUGGGGUCCUAGAGACCUUUGUGGCGCAGUUAACGCGAUAAGUCGACCGCCUGGGGAGUACGGCCGCAAGGUUAAAACUCAAAUGAAUUGACGGGGGCCCGCACAAGCGGUGGAGCAUGUGGUUUAAUUCGAUGCAACGCGAAGAACCUUACCUACCCUUGACAUCGUGCGAACUUGGUAGAGAUACCUUGGUGCCUUCGGGAACGCACAGACAGGUGCUGCAUGGCUGUCGUCAGCUCSUGUUGUGAAAWGUUGNGGUUAA